UGUGUAGGCGGUGCCCUAAGUUCGGUGUGAAAUCUCCCGGCUCAACUGGGAGGGUGCGCCGGAAACUGGGGUGCUCGAACGUGGGAGAGGAAAGCGGAAUUCCUGGUGUAGCGGUGAAAUGCGUAGAUAUCAGGAGGAACACCUGUGGUGUAGACGGCUUUCUGGACCAUUGUUGACGCUGAGACACGAAAGCGUGGGUAGCAAACAGGAUUAGAUACCCUGGUAGUCCACGCCCUAAACGAUGCAUACUUGGUGUCGGCCAUUCAGUUGGUCGGUGCCGGAGCUAACGCGUUAAGUAUGCCGCCUGGGGAGUACGGUCGCAAGGCUGAA
rnacentral:rRNA from 1 species